UACGUAGGCAGCAAGCGUUGUUCGGAGUUACUGGGCGUAAAGGGUGCGUAGGCGGCUCUAUAAGUAUGGUGUGAAAUCUCCCGGCUUAACUGGGAGGGUGCGCUAUAGACUGUGGGGCUAGAGGGUGGGAGAGGAAAGUGGAAUUCCUGGUGUAGCGGUGAAAUGCGUAGAUAUCAGGAGGAACACCGGUGGUGUAGACGGCUUUCUGGACCACUUCUGACGCUGAGGCACAAAAGCGUGGGUAG
rnacentral:rRNA from 1 species